UACAGAGGGGCAAGCGUUGUUCGGAAUUACUGGGCGUAAAGGGCGCGUAGGCGGUCAGCACAAGUCAGUUGUGAAAUCUCCGGGCUUAACUCGGAAAGGUCAACUGGAUACUGUGCGACUAGAGUGCAGAAGGGGCAACUGGAAUUCUCGGUGUAGCGGAUGAAUGCGUAGAUAUCGAGAGGAACACCUGCGGCGAAGGCGGCAUCCUGGACCAACACUGACGCUGAGUGAGCGAAAGCCAGGGAGCAAACGGGAUUAG
rnacentral:rRNA from 1 species